rfam:Myotis lucifugus cont2.12774, whole genome shotgun sequence.
GGUGGUUCUUGGGUGAUGCACCCCAGAAUCAGGCUCCCUCCUCUCUGGUUCCGGGUGCGUCUGCCAAGAACCACA